GAUGAACGCUAGCGGCAGGCUUAACACAUGCAAGUCGAGGGGUAACAUUGUAGCUUGCUACAGAUGACGACCGGCGCACGGGUGCGUAACGCGUAUAGAACCUACCUUUUACAGAGGGAUAGCCCAGAGAAAUUUGGAUUAACACCUCAUAGUAUUAUAAGAUGGCAUCAUCUAAUAAUUAAAACUUCGGUGGUAAAAGAUGGCUAUGCGUUCUAUUAGCUAGAUGGUAAGGUAACGGCUUACCAUGGCAACGAUAGAUAGGGGUCCUGAGAGGGAGACCCCCCACACUGGUACUGAGACACGGACCAGACUCCUACGGGAGGCAGCAGUGAGGAAUAUUGGACAAUGGAGGCAACUCUGAUCCAGCCAUGCCGCGUGCAGGAAGACGGUCCUAUGGAUUGUAAACUGCUUUUAUAUAGGAAGAAACCUUUCCACGUGUGGAAAUCUGACGGUACUAUAUGAAUAAGCACCGGCUAACUCCGUGCCAGCAGCCGCGGUAAUACGGAGGGUGCAAGCGUUAUCCGGAAUCAUUGGGUUUAAAGGGUCCGUAGGCGGACUAAUAAGUCAGGGGUGAAAUACCACAGCUCAACUGUGGAACUGCCUUUGAUACUGUUAGUCUUGAAUUAUAUGGAAGUAGAUAGAAUGUGUAGUGUAGCGGUGAAAUGCUUAGAGAUUACACAGAAUACCGAUUGCGAAGGCAGUCUACUACGUAUA
rnacentral:rRNA from 1 species